AAAGUGGAGCAAUCCAUGAGUACAGUGGCGUACGGGUGAGUAACACGUGGGUAAUCUGCCUUUUAGUGUGGAAUAACCCUGGGAAACCGGGGCUAAUAACGCAUAAUCUCGCGAGAGGAAAGUCGCAAGACGCUGAAAGAGGAGCCCGCGGCCGAUUAGCUAGUUGGCAGGGUAAAAGCCUACCAAGGCAGAGAUCGGUAGCCGGCCUGAGAGGGCACACGGCCACACUGGCACUGAAACACGGGCCAGACUCCUACGGGAGGCAGCAGUGGGGAAUCUUGCACAAUGGGGGAAACCCUGAUGCAGCGACGCCGCGUGAGCGAUGAAGCCCUUCGGGGUGUAAAGCUCUUUCGGCAGGGAAGAUGAUGACGGUACCUGCAGAAGCAGCUGCGGCUAACUACGUGCCAGCAGCCGCGGUAAUACGUAGGCAGCGAGCGUUGUUCGGAGUUACUGGGCGUAAAGGGUGUGUAGGCGGUUGUUUAAGUUUGGUGUGAAAUCUCCCGGCUCAACUGGGAGGGUGCGCCGAAUACUGAAUGACUCGAGUGCGGGAGAGGAAAGUGGAAUUCCUGGUGUAGCGGUGAAAUGCGUAGAUAUCAGGAGGAACACCGGUGGUGUAGACGGCUUUCUGGACCGUAACUGACGCUGAGACACGAAAGCGUGGGUAGCAAACAGGAUUAGAUACCCUGGUAGUCCACGCCCUAAACGAUGCAUAUUUGGUGUGGGCAGGUUCAUUCUGUCCGUGCCGGAGCUAACGCGUUUAAAUAUGCCGCCUGGGGAGUACAGUCCGCAGGGUUAAAC
rnacentral:rRNA from 1 species